rnacentral:rRNA from 2 species
GUGGAUGCCCUGGCAGUCAGAGGCGAUGAAGGACGUGCUAAUCUGCGAAAAGCGUCGGUAAGGUGAUAUGAACCGUUAUAGCCGGCGAUGUCCGAAUGGGGAAACCCAGUGCAAUUCGUUGCACUAUCGUUAACUGAAUACAUAGGUUAACGAGGCGAACCGGGGGAACUGAAACAUCUAAGUACCCCGAGGAAAAGAAAUCAACCGAGAUUCCCCCAGUAGCGGCGAGCGA